AACGAACGCUGGCGGCAGGCUUAACACAUGCAAGUCGAACGCCCCGCAAGGGGAGUGGCAGACGGGUGAGUAACGCGUGGGAAUCUACCCAGUUCUACGGAACAACUGAGGGAAACUUCAGCUAAUACCGUAUACGCCCUACGGGGGAAAGAUUUAUCGGAAUUGGAUGAGCCCGCGUUGGAUUAGCUAGUUGGUGAGGUAACGGCUCACCAAGGCGACGAUCCAUAGCUGGUCUGAGAGGAUGAUCAGCCACACUGGGACUGAGACGCGGCCCAGACUCCUACGGGAGGCAGCAGUGGGGAAUAUUGGACAAUGGGCGCAAGCCUGAUCCAACCAUGCCGCGUGAGUGAUGAAGGCCUUAGGGUUGUAAAGCUCUUUCAGUGGGGACGAUAAUGACGGUACCCACAGAAGAAGCCCCGGCUAACUUCGUGCCAGCCGCCGCCGUAACAC
rnacentral:rRNA from 1 species